GCUGGGCAUGGUGGCGCACGCCUGUAAUCCCAGCAGGUUGGGAGGCUGAGGCAGGAGGAUUAUGAGUUCAAAGCCAGCCUCAG
rnacentral:sRNA from 1 species